GACUUUAGAAUCACACCCAUCCUGUUGUAUGGUAACUUUUUAGGCAUAACAAGCUUGUAGUAGCGAUGAUUCCCAAUGUAAAUAAACCUACAGUAAAAAUUGACUGUACAAAUUGAGUUUUAUGUAAUGUACCAUGUGCAUAUCCUUUAUUAUUGCAUUUUAUUAUAUAUUUUGUCAAUGUAUAAAUGAUGCCAAUAAAUAUUUUGCAUACAUUGAUAUUCAUAUUUCAAUAUAAACUAUACAUGUAAGUACUGGUUAGUAUAAGUUAAUAAUCUGUUACAGUAAGUAAUUUAGUAAACCUGCAUCAUUUUUUAUUCACAUUUGUACUAUAUAAUUGUAGUCUGUAACCGAUGAGUAACAUUAACUUAAGUCAAAUCAGGGUCUGUAUUGUAUUAAACAUAAUGAAAACGGUGAAAGGUCUACUUGGGUAUGUUAUAAAACACAAUGACAUGACUACCUUUACCUAUUUUGGGCAGAUGGGCAUCUUGAUGCUGGCCUGUCCGAAGUGUUUUGAAACAAGCUGACGCGGGACCCGCCUAUAUGCCAAGAUGCUGCUGACUUGAAGGAUGGCAGCAAAGGAGGAUUUGUACAGUAAGAUUAUUCCGCGCAGACUUCGACGGAGCAGUUCUGUCUCUGCCAAGCAUGGGUCCAGUCUGGAUGUGCUUCUGUCGAUGGGAUUCCCUCAGCAUAGAGCAUCGAAAGCUCUGGCAUCAACCGGAGGCAGAAGUGUUCAGCUAGCUUGUGACUGGCUGUUCUCCCAUUUGGAUGACCCCUUUCUGGACGACCCUUUACCCAGAGAGUAUGUGCUAUAUCUGUGUCCCAGUGGGCCUUUACAAAACCAACUUUCCCAUUUCUGGCAGCAGUCUCGCUUAACCUGUGGCAAGAACAAAGCUCACAACAUAUUUCCACAUAUCACACUCUGUCAGUUCUUUAUGUGCCCAGACAAUAAAGUUGUGGCUGUCUGUGAAGCGCUGCAGUCCACGGUGAAUCAGUGGAGGGGGAGAUUUCCCAGCCCUCUGCCCCUGGAGCUUUACACCUCCACUAACUUCAUCGGGCUGUUUGUGGAGGAACAGGUGGCUGAGACGCUAAAGAAGUUUGCGUCGGACUUUGCGGUGGAGGCUGCCACUAAAGCUGAUGUUCAUGUGGAACCCCAUAAAAAGCAACUUCAUUUGACUCUAGCAUAUCACUUUCCAACCAAUCAUUUUUCUUCCUUGGAAAAAUUGGCUAAAGGGGUUGAGGUCAAGCUCGGCUGCGAUUGGCUCGCUGCUAUUUUCUCACGGGACAUAAGAUUUGCGAAUCAUGAGACUUUGCGAGUGAUGUACCCGUACACUCCUCAGAAUGAUGAUGAGUUGGAGCUGGUGCAGGGAGACUUCAUCUUCUCAUCGACUGUGGAGCAAAUGAGUACGAGUGAGGGCUGGGUGAACGGUACAUCUCUGGGUACAGGCUUGUCUGGACUGCUGCCCGAGAACUAUGUCAGCCCUGCUGAUGAAUGCGACACAUGGGUCUUCCACGGGUCACACUCCUUCUUUUCUACUACCCCUUCGGAAAAGGGCUACAAAGAGAGCAAAUCAUUGGACGGGCUGUUCAGCCUUCGUUGCAUGGAUAACUCAAGGCUGGGAGACUCCGCCAUCUUGAGCGUUAUUUGCCAACCUAUGCAGGUGCUUCGAUCCAACCUUCAGUCUCGUCCUUCUAAAAGGACCCUGUUCGUAUGUCGACAUGGAGAGAGAAUGGACGUUGUGUUUGGAAAACAAUGGCUCUUACAGUGUUCUGACUCUAAAGGCAGGUAUGUGAGGAGUAAUCUGAAUAUGCCCGCUGUGCUACCUGCCUGGGGUGAAGCACACAGAAUGUAUGAAAUGGAUGCUCCUAUUACAGUGGUUGGAUCUACACAGGCCAGGAUAGUGGGUGAGGCUAUUCUGGAAAGUAACACCACUAUUGAUUUUGUAUACUGCUCGCCCAGCCUCCGCUGUGUCCAGACAGCUCAUGAAAUCCUCAGAGGGAUGCAGCAAGAUGGCAGAAUAAGUAUUCGAGUGGAACCUGGGCUUUUUGAGUGGACUAAAUGGGUCUCGGGAACAUCUUUGCCGGCUUGGAUACCUCCUACAGAUCUUGCUGCAGCCAAACUCAAUGUAGACACAACAUACAGACCUCACUUUCCCAUUAACAAACUAACCAUCUCGGAGACAUAUGACACGUAUAUUAGUCGGAGCUACAAGGUGACCAAAGACAUUUUGGCUUACUGCAAAAAUAAAGGAAACAACAUUCUGUUUGUGGCACAUGCUUCUUCUUUGGAGGCUUGUACCCGGCAGAUUCAAGGCCUUUCCCCUCAGAACCCUAAAGAUUUUGUGCAAGUAGUACGAAAGAUUCCAUACCUGGGUCUCUGUGCGUGUGAGGAGCAAGGGGACACGGGAACAUGGCAGCUGGUAGACCCCCCAAUUCUGCCUCUUACUCAUGGGCCCAAUCACAGCUUCAGCUGGAGAGAGAACCUACAGCAAGAAUGACCUUGUGUUUAUAGUCUUUCCUCAAAGGACAACUAUUCUAGAGGAGAGUCUGCAAUGUUACCUGCACUGGAAGCACACAACUGAGCAUUUUUAAAAAAUAUGUUGUAAUUUGUUACAUUCAUGUUUUAAGUUAUGCAAAUUAUAUAUUAAUGUGGGACGUGGCGGAGUUGGACAGAGGAGACUGCACUGUAUAAAGAACAUAUGUGACCCUGGACAACAAAACUGGUCUUAUGGGUCAAUUUUUCAGACAGAAGUUUUUACAAAUUUGUUAGGAUAGGAUGAUAAUAUCUGGCUGAGAUACAACUGUUUAAGACUCUAGAAUCUGAGGGUGCAAAAAAAUCAAAAUAUUGAGAAAAUUGCCUUUGAAGUUGUUAAUCAGAGGCACUGUAGCAGGCCAUCCACUCACAAAUAUAAAGUUUUUAUAUAUUUACGGUAAGAAACUUACAAAAUAUCUUCAUGGAACAUCUUUACUUAGUAUGAUUUUUGGCAUAAAAGAAAAAUCGAUAAUUUUGGCCCGGACAAUGUAUUUUUGGCUUUUUUACUUCCUGUGCUACUUACUGGUUUUGCGAUCCAGGGUCACAUAUACGGGAGUGUUUACUGGGCCUUCAAGCAGGCUUUCUAGGGCAUUGGCUUUUAAUCACAUUUAAUAGGUUAAAAUGCACAGUGAAAUAAUGCAGCAGUAAAUAUGACAUCACUUCAUACCACGCAUACCUGCCACUUUCCAAUGGCAUUCAAAAGGAAUCAGUGUUUCAUCAUCCUAUGAACCUUCAUGCAAAAAGGCAAUAUCCAUAUUAAUAUAAAUAUGUCAAAUAAUAUACAUAUAAGACAGCUGUGUGGAGCAGGAUUUUGUACCAGUGGCAUUUAAAAGACAAAAACAGAUUUACAUGGAGAAGUACAUUUUAGCACUUGUUACUUUCAUGAUAUGGAAAUGUUGACUUUUUUUCAAUUGAAGUUUAUUUUCAUAGCGUUUUUACUAUUUGCAUUGCGUCAAAGCAGUUGCAAGAAAACCAAAACCAACAUAAGAGUUUGUCAUUCAUAAUAGCCUACUUUGUUCGACUUGUGUUAUUAUUUCAAGUCUUACAGAUGAGCUAAACAUACUUUAGAUGUAAGGAUAAAUGUCCUUAGAAAACAUUAAUGUUAAUAAUUAUUUGCAAACUUUGUAAAAUUAAAAGUAUUAAUAUUAAAAUAAGUUCUUUUCGGUGGGAAAGGUGUCUGGACCGCAUCGCAGUUUCGCCACGCCUCGAUCAUUUCAGUAACUUUGUUUACUUCGCGCCUUGUCUGACAGGUAGGCCCACGUCUUUUUUUCAUCAUGUUAUCCGAGUUAGACAAGCAUAAGUUUAGAGCGAUACAUUAGGCUACCUAAUACAUCUAAUAUUUUUGUUAAUAUUUCAAGUCUUUUGGCGGGCAGGGUGGCUUAAUGGGGGUAGGCCUAACUUUGUUUAUUCUCGUUCACUAAUAUCCUGGUUUAACCCAAGGUCCCUUUUGUACAGCAUAUUCGACCUGAUUGGUUAGCUAAUAGAUCUUUUUCGACCCAUUUGACAUUCUCCUCGAUAAACGCGUCAUCUAGCAUCCUGAAAUUAAAGAAAUGCAACAUUUAUGCAUCUGUUGUAGUCCAGUCAGCUCAGGUCAGCAACUGCAAUAGAGAUCCUUACGGGAUAAAGUGAGUCCAGUAGCAAACUCUUUUCAGAUAAGCAUAUGCACAACACGUCUGACGUGGUAAGUUUGAUUUUUAGAGUAAAAUGGGAUAAAUUUCUCCGCAGAUGCUUGAGAAAUGAAAGAACUCUGUUGAUGGUUACGUUUUAAACCUGGUUUAUAAUAACAUGCCAAAUUAAGGUUACAUAGCCCACUGACACUUACCUUAAUCCAUUAACAUAAUUAUUAUUGAUGUACAGAGACAAGCUUACAUUCGACUUAUUUUAAAGGGGAUAAUUUAGCCGAAGCUUUACCUCCUAACUUUGCUCAAGGUUAACUUAAUAUUUAAUGCAUGUUUUCAUUUUAUUUCCAAAAUUUUGUUUCAGAUCGACUUCUGCUGUACAGACCCCAAUUGAAGACUAGAUAGACAGUGUAUGUGUGUAUAAAAUACUUAUCUGAUGAAUCGCUAUAAGAGUGAAGUCACCAUAAAAUGAGAGACUUGUUGUUGAAAUGCAGUAAUCAACCGUAAUGAACCUGAAGCAGUUAACUCCAUCUGCGUUCAUGUCCUUACAGUCUAAUUGCACAAGUUGUAAGCAGCCCUUUUCCCCCUUCCCUUCUGUUUGGCACCUGUGAUCUUUCAGACGUGGAACGGUCGGACUUUCCCGUGAUUAAUGGGGCUGAUUGGCAAUAGACGGGACUGACAAACGAUUGGUGGGAUUCAUUCCUCUAAAAAUCCAAGUCAUUAUAGGAGAGCAGUGAAUCUCUGCAGUCUAAUAAUGCUCUCAGUGUUCUUUUCAAGCUUUUAAACUAAUUCGUGAUUGAUCACUAAUUAUCGGUGACGGGGCCUCUCGAGACAGCACUUUCCAGUUUGUUCCUAUCUUGAAACAGUUUGAAAGGAGCUAUAACUUCCAAAUGGUUGACUCUGCUCCCUGGUGGAGAGUCAAUAGACCGCUGCGAGACAUUUGAGUGAACAUUGACGUUCUUUGCCAAUAUGCCUUAUUGCCUCUCGACAGAAUAAAACACCUGGAACGUAGAAAUGUCUGGUCGGGUUUUGAUGGGGCCGUAGUCGGCAAUCAGCAGUGUUACUGCUCUUAUUGAACUUCUUAUUGGGUAUUUGUAUAGUGCUCCCCACACGCACUUUAGCAGCCAGACAUUGGUUGACAAAUCCACAUUCUUUAAUUGCGUGACCAUUGAUUUCAGUUCCAGUCAAAAAGAGAGAAAAAAGGAAAGCGCCCACUUAAAGACAAGACAUAUAUUAGUCUAAUGCCGAUGGCAAAGGCUGUUUGCAGCAUAAGGAACGCACACACAUAACAGAGUGUAAAGAGACCGAGUCCCUGGCUGUUUCUUUAUGAGCCAACAGACGUCUCGGGCUCAGCAGAAUAUCAUUUCCUUUCCAGUGCUGUUGAUGUUUGCUAGUUCACUUUGAAUGUAAAAGAGAGAAUAUGUGAGUUUUGUAGGUUACGUUUGUUAUUCAGGUGAAAAAAUAUGUUCGUGGAAGUUGAGGGGUUUUAUUCUAGCCGAGAACUUCUGCAUCUGCACAUUUCUGACACAAAGAGGGAGCAGCCUCAACGAGAACACCAGGGUGGAAACAGUGGAUGAAAUCAUUCUCCCAUCCAGCUGUUGAUGGCUAUGCUGAUGGACAGCUCCCUUCUCCAGCAGGAAAUGUAGGCUACUAAUAAGCUGUUUGCUGCAUAUUUUGUUACGAAGACUCGCCAAACAUACUGUGCAUCUCACUUCUAUGUGUGAUACUGGGAUUUUAGAGUUGGAAAGCGCUGCUUGGCAACAAACAACGGAUGAAAUUGAUAUUUCCUCGCCGUCUGAGUGUCCACGGGUUCGCCAAUACUCAGUUCUACUGUGAGAUUUCAUAACAUAAAUUGUGUGGAAGAAUAGACAUGCUCUCUCUCCCUCCCUCCCUCUUUGUCUGACGUGAGGAAAACAGCAGUGGGUCUCUAUAAACAAACACAAUCUUGUCCCACAGUAAAAGUUUUGGUACAAUUUUAACAACUUUUUUCUCCUUUUCUCUCCUGCAGUACAUAACAAAUCAUCAAAGCCGGGAUUAAAUUUUCGUGAAGGAGCAGCGUUGACUUCUGGAAGACUUAAGCGUAUUAGCUUUAAAACGAAGAUGGGAGUUUUAAGUGAUGUAUGGCAGACUUCACAGAUGUUUUAAUCUGUCAGUAGGCAUAUGCUCUUGCACAGGCUAUUUAUAUUAGGAUUUUGUGUUUUCUUGCCUUUACACCCUAAUCGAUAGUUUCUCCUGCUCACAUGUACGUGAUCUUGUGUUUUAGUUAUUUAACAGUACUUCCUCUGGAUUUUUAUGAGAUUCCUUUAUAGUCUACAAUAGAACCGCAUGUACUGAUAAUAUGAUAAGUGUUUAAAUCUGUAACAUCUUUUUAAUAAACAAUUUAUGGUUUAAAGCUUGCAACUGCACUCCCAAGACCAUACUGAUGUACAUCUGGACACUUAAGUCAUAACAAAAAUGUAUGAAUUUCAUUGCAAUUAAUGAUAAAACAUUAAUACAACUGGUAUUUAUUUUACAGGUAGCACAUGCACAUUCUUUUGUAUUUUUAUGGUUUCUCUUAUCGGUCUACACCCGUUUAACUUUACUGUAGUGUACCUGUGUGAACUCCAGAGGAUGUUAUAUCAAACUCAGGUUUAUAUUUUAAACUUGCAAAAAUGGCCCAGAAAAGUUCAUACAUUUUUCUUGGGUGUCUUACUUUUUGAUGCUACUGCAACGUCAUAUUCAUGCAAUCUAUACUAAGAUGUCUGCUUUUUGGUAUAGUGCAUAUUCUAUUUGAUAGUUGAAAUGCUACAUCUAGGAUAAGAAUUAUAUGUUUUACAGAUUCAGAAACCUCUAGAGAAGAGUAACAUUUUAUUAAAGAUUUUGACAUCGCAAGGUAAAAUAUUUUUAUAGCUAUAA